AUUUCUCCCCUAGCAAGAAUGAGGGAGAUGAAGAGCUUGGGUGUCUGAGGGCUGGUGUGUCUGCAUGCAUGUAUGUUUUUGGGGCCGACUGAAGGAAGAGAAGGCUGGAGAGAGGGAACAUGGGUCUGAGGGCACAUCACUAAGAGGUCAAGAGGUCUGAAGUGGGAGUCUAAGGCUCUGCAUAGAACUCGAACUUGGUCUACAUUAGACUUUAACUUCCACGAGGCUUGGACUUUCAGGCUCCCCGCCUCACACCGCGGGCAGGUGAGGCGUCUGCUACAGGCCUGGUCUCGCAGAGGCGGCCCAGCGCCCCCCGCCGCCGCCUUCUCCUGGAGUCUGUGUGACAGAAUGGGACCUGUGGGAAAGCAGCACGUCAGCACCCAGCCCCGCUUGCUCGCCAGCAGCUAAUUAAAGCCAGGAAGGUGAUGGUGAUUUUCGACUCAUUCCCGUUACAAACAGCCGACCUUCCUACCGAGUUCAAGUACCUUCUGCCUGGCCUGGAAGAACCGUAUCUCUCUGUCACCCUCUUCCUCUGGCCCUCACCUGCCCUCCCCUGAACAUGCAUUUUGCCUGAGAGGAGACAGAGGCGGUUGAGAUGGAGUCUUGCUAUAUGGCCCAGCUGGUAAUGCCUGGAUUCUUGAGUCCCUCCCUGGCUCAUCCCUGGGAGAAGCACCGAACCCCAUGUCUGACACCUGUCCGGAAAUGGAGCCUGCACAUUGACCCUAGGUGCUUGCAGCUUGGUCCAGGACGCCAGCAGGACCAGACAGAAGACCACAGCGACACGUGGGGAUGGCUGUUCCACAGGCAGAAAUGGGCAGCCAGGAGGAAGUCCGGGCAGCCAGCCACCCAGCUCCUUCCACAUCGUGGCCCUAGAACGGAGUCUUGA
rnacentral:lncRNA from 1 species